GAACCUAUGGCUUAGUUGGUCAGAGCGUUUGGACAGUUUCCAAGAAUCGCUGGUUGAAAUCCCGCUUCUUUUA
rnacentral:tRNA from 1 species